rnacentral:rRNA from 1 species
CUACGGGUCGCUGCAGUGAGGAAUAUUGGACAAUGGGCGCAAGCCUGAUCCAGCCAUGCCGCGUGAGUGAUGAAGGCCCUAGGGUUGUAAAGCUCUUUCAGUGGGGAAGAUAAUGACGGUACCCACAGAAGAAGCCCCGGCUAACUUCGUGCCAGCAGCCGCGGUAAUACGAAGGGGGCUAGCGUUGUUCGGAAUUACUGGGCGUAAAGCGCGCGUAGGCGGAUUGUUAAGUUGGGGGUGAAAUCCCGAGGCUCAACCUCGGAACUGCCUUCAAUACUGGCAAUCUUGAGUCCGGAAGAGGUGAGUGGAACUCCUAGUGUAGAGGUGAAAUUCGUAGAUAUUAGGAAGAACACCAGUGGCGAAGGCGGCUCACUGGUCCGGUACUGACGCUGAGGUGCGAAAGCGUGGGGAGCAAACAGGAUUAGAUACCCUUGUAGUC